ACCAUAUUGAUUUAGUCGGUUAGAAUAAUACAGGUUACUGUAGUGGCCGGGGUUCGAAUAAUCGAUAUGGUA